AAAACAACAGUUCCCGACUCUGUACCACCUGCUUCAAUGCAAGCCAGGGCCCGGAGUGAUGCAACCCACAAGCGUGGAAGGGGCUGGCGGAUGGGCUGUCUCGGGGCUGAUCUGAUGUCAGAGCAGAUCAUGUGGUGCUCUGUGGGCAGCAGGGACUGGCCCGCGGGAAGCACAUGGAUUACAGUCUGAGGCUGUGAUGGGAAAGUCGGAUCCUGGGCUGUUGUCUCACACACAUCAGCAGGCGGGGAAGCUGGGGACUCCGACUCGCCCUGCCCGGGCCCUCCUGCUGCGUGGUCACAGGCAAUCGCUGAGAGAAGCUGCUGCUCCAACCUGAUUAAAGUGAAUUGAUUUCAGAUUCUGUAACCCUGUGUUGGACUUGUUUUCUAUGUGGCAAGCGAGGGGUGCGGAGAGGGUGGGCUCUCCCUCCGUCAACAUCACUGCUUCUUAAGAUUCAGGUUGUGUUUGUGCCAGAGGAAUAUAGUGGUUGCCACCCUUCCUUGCUGUGGGAGUACCGUGCUACCUCAUGCCUCAGGCUGGAUCCUCAGCUCUCCAGUAUCCUACGUGUGGCCUUUCUGGAGUAUGAGAGCAGAGAUGGAAUAGCAUCUUACUGUUCCUUCCGGCAUAUUACACUCAACCUCCUUCACAGGCUGGAAAUAAAUAUGUGUACUUGGAAGGCAAAAGCUUUCUACAAUCCGAGGUUUAAGUCAUGGAACACCAAACAACAGACAGGAGCUUGCCCCACCCAUCGAGCUGUGAACAUGGAGGCCUCACUUCCCAUCUCAUCCCCCUGA
rnacentral:lncRNA from 1 species